rnacentral:rRNA from 1 species
UCUUUUUCAGUGCGUGCCAGUGACGAUUUCGGUGGAAGUAAGCAUGUGUGCCGGUAUAUUUGGAGUCGUAAGAGAAGACGGUGGCGAGGGGGUGAGAGAGCAGACUACCUCACGUUCCGCCGCUCGCUCAGCAGAAGCAGGAGCAGGCGAGGGAGAAGAAGGUACCUAUCGACACCGCGGCCGCCCGGCGCCCGCUGCCAGAGGUGCCGCAGCAGGACGAUGGCCGGCCGCUAGGUGUCCCUGGAUUCGUGCCUGGAAGUGGAGCCCGAGUCGGACGCCAGCACGAGGAGGAGGAAGGUGUGCCGACUGCCGCAGAGGCGAAGGUGAGGUUCCAGAGACGUCACGUCUGAGCAUUAAAAUAGAGUCUUUAAUUUGAAGAACAAGUAGUAAACAUAACCAGCCGAGACCGAGGAGAGACGUGUAGUUGGCUACGUAGCUAGUUAGGCAAAGAAUCCUCGUGGGACUGCUGCUGCUGCUACUCCGGUCGCCGCGGCAGCGGCCUAGGCCGCAUGCUCUCUCCGCCGCCGCCGUCGGUACCCGUCGUCAGCGAUAAACACUUCCACAUGUACCUCCCGCAGGGGUAGCCGGCCUUCGACCUAGACGACGACGACCUGCCGAUGCUGCCUGAGGAGCGGCAGGAUCCGGCGUACAAGUUCCGGAGGUAGUAUGUAGGCCUAUGGCAGCCGGCACUAGUGGCUCACCAAGAACCCCUCUUCGUCCGAGCGGUACAACAGUGAAUAGUUCUGGUCCUCCCCCUGACCGACUACCGGCCCCUGCACGGCACCCUCAUGCAGAUCUACCGAAGUAAGACUUAAAGUCUGAAUAGUCAAGAAGAAGGUAGAGUGUGAUUAAGGUGUCUGAACUCAAACUUGAUAGCUCGUUACUAUGUUUUGCACACCUGUUAUGAAGCCCCUAGUUUAGUUUAACGCGAGAUAUGUAGAAACAGCUUGAAUUAAAAUCUAAUCUCCUAGAAACACUUCUAGAAUUUAUUAAUAAAAGAAAUUUACUAAGAAACCCGUCCGAUAAGGACCGCCCACACUUCUUUAACUUCUAACGUUCCCACCUAUCAUCGUAGAGACUAACUAAGUUGCUCCCGCUGAGUACACCGGAGGUAAGGACCCACACGAACCUAAAGUAAUUAAGUAAAUAAACCCCCCAAUUCUACUCUACCAAUAGAGAACCACUUCAGCCGACGAAGUAUUACAUGUCAGACGUUUUUCACGCCCUGUAUAAGAACUUUUUUUCCGUUG